rnacentral:rRNA from 1 species
GACGAACGCUGGCGGCGUGCCUAAUACAUGCAAGUAGAACGCUGAAGCUUGGUGCUUGCACCGAGCGGAUGAGUUGCGAACGGGUGAGUAACGCGUAGGUAACCUGCCUGGUAGCGGGGGAUAACUAUUGGAAACGAUAGCUAAUACCGCAUAAAAUGGAUUAUCGCAUGAUAAUCGAUUGAAAGGUGCAAAUGCAUCACUACCAGAUGGACCUGCGUUGUAUUAGCUAGUUGGUGGGGUAACGGCUCACCAAGGCGACGAUACAUAGCCGACCUGAGAGGGUGAUCGGCCACACUGGGACUGAGACACGGCCCAGACUCCUACGGGAGGCAGCAGUAGGGAACCUUCGGCAAUGGACGGAAGUCUGACCGAGCAACGCCGCGUGAGUGAAGAAGGUUUUCGGAUCGUAAAGCUCUGUUGUAAGGGAAGAACGAGUGUGAGAGUGGAAAGUUCACACUGUGACGGUAUCUUACCAGAAAGGGACGGCUAACUACGUGCCAGCAGCCGCGGUAAUACGUAGGUCCCGAGCGUUGUCCGGAUUUAUUGGGCGUAAAGCGAGCGCAGGCGGUUAGAUAAGUCUGAAGUUAAAGGCUGUGGCUUAACCAUAGUACGCUUUGGAAACUGUUUAACUUGAGUGCAAGAGGGGAGAGUGGAAUUCCAUGUGUAGCGGUGAAAUGCGUAGAUAUAUGGAGGAACACCGGUGGCGAAAGCGGCUCUCUGGCUUGUAACUGACGCUGAGGCUCGAAAGCGUGGGGAGCAAACAGG